rnacentral:rRNA from 1 species
UACGGGGGGAGCUAGCGUUGUUCGGAAUUACUGGGCGUAAAGCGCACGUAGGCGGCUUUGUAAGUCAGAGGUGAAAGCCUGGAGCUCAACUCCAGAACUGCCUUUGAGACUGCAUCGCUUGAAUCCAGGAGAGGUGAGUGGAAAUUCCGAGUGUAGAGGUGAAAUUCGUAGAUAUUCGGAAGAACACCAGUGGCGAAGGCGGCUCACUGGCUCGAUACUGACGCUGAGGUGCGAAAGCGUGGGGAGCAAACAGG